rnacentral:piRNA from 1 species
CUUGUCAUGUUGAUUGUAGUCUGGGG